GUCCACGCCGUAAAACGAUGGAUACUAGCUGUUCGGUGCAAACUGAGUGGCUAAGCGAAAGUGAUAAGUAUCCCACCUGGGGAGUACGUUCGCAAGAAUGAAACUCAAAGGAAUUGACGGGGGCCCCGCACAAGCGGUGGAGCAUGUGGUUUAAUUCGAUGAUACGCGAGGAACCUUACCAAGGCUUAAAUGUAGAUUGACAGGACUGGAAACAGUUUUUUCUUCGGGACAAUUUACAAGGUGCUGCAUGGUUGUCGU
rnacentral:rRNA from 1 species